UUUAUAUAUUCAUGGAAAACAAAAGUGCAGCUUUCACUCUGCCAGCCCCCUCUUGCCAAAUUUUUUUUCUUUUGGGUUGAUGUAGGUGCUCCAGUCCCUGGCACUGCAUUGCGAUAGCAUUUCUGAUAUGACGGUCCUUUACACAAUCCCCAAAGAAUGCCAGUUUCUAUUUUUCAGUUUGCAGGAAACUUAUGGGUGGGAGUGUGUUAUGAAGAACAAGAUGGCAGCCAAACAAGCCACUGAAUGGCUUUCAUAUCCGCAAUGAGCUGUUUCACAUUUGGUGCCGAUUAGGAGACAUUCCAAGCUACCGGUACUAUUUCUAGUCUCGAUACUUUGAAACGUGUGAAGUAUGCGGACCAGAUUCUGAUCCAGUCAUUAUAAACCAAAUUUUUGACAGUGAGAGACGCAGUGUAAAAGCACAAGUCAGAUCUGGAAGAAAGAUGGGGAGAUAUGUCAUGAGAGAGCCAGUCUUGCUGGAACAAGGCAUUCUAAGGAACCACGCAGGCUUAUUCCCAGGUCUUUGCAGCCAAGCAACAUCAUUUCCCCUGACAUCCAUCUUGCCAAAGAGGAAGGCAGAAAAGAAGCAAGAGACAGAGGACCUGAAAUAUCCCUGAUGAGUGGGAAGAUGAGAGGAGAAAAGUACUGUGACUUGCCCAAGACCGUGAAGGGAAGUCAGUGGCAGAGCCCUGAUGAGACUGCGCGAGAUCGGUAAACAGCGUUGUAUCCUGCAAAGGCAAAAUGUGAUUCUGCAGAAUCUAUCUGGUGCCCUUAAAACUGCAGUCAGCCCUGACCAAAACGGCUCAUUACCUGAAGUGGCAUCUAUUGUUUGCUGUAUAAGUGUAAGUAUAAUCAAUUCUAGCUGGCUCAAUAUUUCUGAGGGAUCAGGAUUUCGUUAAUAUUCUGCACGCCUCUCCUUUCCCUCUGUGUCUCUGUGUGUGUAUGUAUCUGGAGGAGCAGCCUGAAUACAGUAUCUCUGUGUUUUUCUUCUCCCCAGGAUGACAGAUAUUUUAACGAUGACAGUAGAUUAAUAUCUCUUUAAUCAGCCAAAAUGAACAUGACACGCAAGGGUGACAGCUCAAUUUUCUGCUAACAGAUUGCUCCUAUCAAGUCCUCCCAUUCUCGCUGAUUUUUAUUCCUGGCAGAGAUGAUGUCCUAGCUUUGGGAGGACCCCAGCUCCCCGUCAGCUCAUCAGACACCCAUUAAAUAAAUCUCGUAACACAUAGGCGUUACUCACACGCCUGUCAGGAUGCUGGCUGGCUGGUUGGCUGGCUGGGGAAUUGAAUGAGCUCCGACACACUGAAUAGGGAGAAAUUGUCACUGAGCAGGGCGAAGCUGCAGUGUGUGUUGCAGAAUAUACAGUUAUGGAGGGUCCCUUGUCCUCCUGCUUGUGGUUAUUUUUUUGUUUGUCGGCUGCUCGGCAUUGAAAUGUGGAUCAGACACUGAGACUGUCUCCUGGCAGACAAAUUAAAAAAAACCCCCAUGUCUGGGGACAGAAAGGUGGAAGGAGGGAAUAGCACUGCAGGUGGAAGUGAUACACUAAAUACUAGCCCCAGAAUUAGCUAUGCUCAGAGCUUGUUAGCAGGUGGGGUUUCAGGAGUAUCUUGUUUCUGCUUUGGAAAUUUAAUCUGCAGGAUCUAAUUCAGAUCUUUCCCCCCCAUGGCGUUUCAAAUGCAGUAACUCCAGAUAUUGUGCAAAGUCAUUGCCCAGCCUUUGCAGGGGUAGGUCUCCCUUUUACUGGAGCAGGUCCUGACCCCCAAACCCAUUCAGGGCUCAAUCUUUGCUGCUUUGACUUGUAACACAACCCCAUCUCCGAAGCUUAUGCCACUGCCAAGGACACAAGGAAAGCUUCAAAUCCAUCAAGCUACAUUUCUGUGACUACAGUACUGGCGCUUGCAGCACGCUGUUCAGUAAACCUAAUAUUCCAAGAGCUGAUAGUUAACUAUUACAUUUGGGAAAGGAGAUGAUCCCAGUCUGUAUUCUGAAGGACCAAUAUUGUUGUUGCUUUUUUAAAAGGAUUUUUACUGAUUUAGAGUCUAAACCUGUUGCCUUUGAUAUUACCGAAAUUCAGCCAUUUCUUUUCAUUGUGAAUCACUCAGACCAUCUGCCUUGUCUUCCUUUAAAAAGAAAUCAACCAACAAAGAGAAAAAAUAAAUAAAAUGCAUUUGAAAUGGCUUAGUUUGGCAAGACCCUCCGAAAACUAUAAAUCAUGCUUGCAAACCUGGCCUAUGUGAACUGGAUUUGCAUUGAAUCAAAUUUUGGUUUUCUUACAAAACUUUUUGUGCUGUGGCUGGCCAUUCACGUAGUUGCAGACAAGAGGUGUGUUUGUUUUAAAAGAUAAAAUGCAAGUAUUUUUAAUGUAAAUGGUUCCAAGAGAAAAUUAACAAUAAAUUACCCCAAUGAUGAUGUUAAAGAUAUCCAUAUGAUUGUAAUUAUGAAGUCAGAUCUUUCCAAAGGAGCGUUCUGUCAUUUCCCAUUCUUGUUACAAUCUCUGUCGUGCAAACAUGUUCAUUAUUUUUGCCAUUUUCUCUUCUUAUUACAGCCUUUGCCAUAAGAAUAAGUCAUCAAGGUUUUAAGUGACUAAUAAAUUCUCUAAAUUACCGUCCAAGGAUGCAUUGCUUUAAUUUUUUUCCUCUCCAUAUUCUGUAUCAUAAUUGCCUAACCAUUUCUCACCCUCCAUUUUUAAUCACUCAUUAGACUAAUAGGAAAAGAAUAGGAUUUACUCUACCUAGAAUACUGUAGCAAGCCUUGGACACUACAGUACCAGAAAGGCAGUUGUAAAUUGGAGAGAAAACAUGACUUCUGUGUCCUUUGAAAAUACUUCAGAUUUCAACUCUCAAGAAAAGACCAGACAUGACUAACAGAUGGUAUCUGCAUAAUCAUUCACUUAAUAAAUACAUUGAGAAAUGUGUGCCCUGUGGGUGGACAAUUCACAAAAGUCCCAUCCAGCAAAGUGUUUCAGAAUAGAAAUAAAUUGAAGCAUGCAGGUAGUUCCACUGAGUUCACUGAGACUUUUCACGUGCUUCCAGUUUGGAGGUUUCUCAAGUAAGUAAAGUAGUGAGUAAAGUGAUAUGCUUAAGAACAUUACUGAGGCAAGACCAAACAGAACAAGACCAGAAUAAUAACUGGUUAAAAAUGAUUUAUUGAGCUUCAUGCACAGCCAGUCUGAUACCCAGCGGUGCCCACAGUCUACUGGUGUUUGCUGGUAGAUGGAUCACCAGACCGACACUCCAUUUGGCACCAACUGGCUCUCUCCAGUGUA